rnacentral:rRNA from 1 species
GAUGAACGCUGGCGGCGUGCUUAACACAUGCAAGUCGAACGAGAAAUGGAGACGGAAACCUUCGGGCGGAAGGCUUCAUUUCGAGUGGCGGACGGGUGAGUAACGCGUGGGUAACCUGUCUCAUACAGGGGGAUAACAGUUGGAAACGACUGUUAAUACCGCAUAAGACCACAGCACCGCAUGGUGCGGGGGUAAAAACUCCGGUGGUAUGAGAUGGACCCGCGUUCGAUUAGCCAGUUGGCGGGGUAACGGCCCACCAAAGCGACGAUCGAUAGCCGAUCUGAGAGGAUGACCGGCCACAUUGGGACUGAGACACGGCCCAAACUCCUACGGGAGGCAGCAGUGGGGAAUAUUGCACAAUGGGGGAAACCCUGAUGCAGCGACGCCGCGUGAGUGAAGAAGUACUUCGGUAUGUAAAGCCCUAUCAGCAGGGAAGAAAAUGACGGUACCUGAGUAAGAAGCCCCGGCUAACUACGUG